UCCUGCCGAGAUUCGUUAGAUGUGGACGUUCUGUCUGUAGCUUGCACAUACUCACGAGACGUGUAGGAAUUAUAUAGAAGAGUCUAUUGAGAAAGUUCUGACAGUGAAUCGGGCGAUCAGCCUAAGAGAAGAAGGACACGACUGUUGUGAGAAGUUCGAUAAAUCGUCGAUCGCGCUACUCGAGGCGUUAGUUCAGACGGCUAGCUCUCUCCACGAAGCCAAGUGUGUUUACUUCGAUUCCGAGAACUUGAAUCCAGAACACCACGCGGUUUUAAGUUUGGCAGACAAACAUGCUGCUCAUUACGCUGUCACAGAGACGCGCUAUAAGGAUAUUGCCUUACCCAUCUGUAUGUACCCGACAGGGGCACUGGAUCGUCCGCUCCUGACACAGCUCUAAGCACUGUAUCUUGGCUGACUGAGUUAUGACCAUGCGUCGCAGGUCUUCAGUUAGCAAACAAUGUACAUUGGACAUAGCAUACCAAGUGAGACUCAAGCAACCAUGGUGAGUACGAUAUCCUGUACUAGAUAACUAACUUAAAUGAGUCGCCGAGUGUUAGAGAACGUGUUUUGACUUUUGCACACGUCUAUUGUAAUACCCGUAGAGCAAUGCAGAUAGACUUAAUUUGGUCGGGCUACCGUUCCGUACUUGGAAUGGAAAUAGGUUUCUGUUAGGUCACCAUUUCACUGAUAGCGCAUUCAGUACUUAGCCAUUUAGACUAUACCACUGGACUGUCAAAUAUCAUAGUCAUUGGCUUGCUAGCACUUUCUCUCAUAGUCCGUAUAAAAGAUUCUCGCUUACUUAGCUUGUGUUUAUUUUUAGAUAGAUUACCAAGAGAGUUCCCAAUUACAUAAGUCUAAACAGAUAAAGAAAAUCCCCCCAUUACCGUGGCUUUAACAAUGGUUAUUUAAUUUUCAGUCUCAGCUGCUUCGGCAAAUCCUAUCAGUAAUGUUUUGGGACUGAGCGAAAUAUCGAAGUGGAGGGUGAUCAUAAUGUACUUUAUCCCUUUAGAAUUGGACAAAAAGGCUAACCAACCGGAAAGGACGCCUUUUCUCUAGUUGUUUUUAUGUAACUAAUUGUAUUUCGAUCUAUGCGACCUCACCAAAUGAUUAAACUUCAAUUUUUCCAUUGUUUUUUAAAUAAUUAAGGGAGUUUCUUAAAUUUUUUCUAAAUUAGGCAUGUUUUCUUCAUUACUUGCAAGAACUAUUCUAACCAGCAUAAUGCAGGUUUUAGCUUUCACCCCUCAGGGCCGAUUGUGCGUAAGUGUUAAAAGAUCGCUCUGAUCGGCAAGUAUUGAAUUCGGUUUGAAAACAAUUUUGAGCUGAAAAUUUAAGUUCUAUACGCUUUAAAUUUGGAGAAUCAGUAUAACUGCCCAUCUAACUUUCGUCGGAAGUAAGUUUGCGUCAGGGCAUAUACCGUGUAAAUUCAAAUAUACCUUAACAGCAUAUAUUCUGCUCGUUUACAGGCCGUAGCAUAGCCGAAUCUCACAAAUGCUAUAUUUGUUCGGCACGUUAGAGAUUGAUUCAUGUCUGAUAAAAUAAACUUGAGUAAAUGAACAAUCAUA